AGUUUGAUCCUGGCUCAGGACGAACGCUGGCGGCGUGCCUAAUACAUGCAAGUCGAGCGGACCGACGGGAGCUUGCUCCCUUAGGUCAGCGGCGGACGGGUGAGUAACACGUGGGUAACCUGCCUGUAAGACUGGGAUAACUCCGGGAAACCGGGGCUAAUACCGGAUGCUUGAUUGAACCGCAUGGUUCAAUCAUAAAAGGUGGCUUUYAGCUACCACUURCAGAUGGACCCGCGGCGCAUUAGCUAGUUGGUGAGGUAACGGCUCACCAAGGCGACGAUGCGUAGCCGACCUGAGAGGGUGAUCGGCCACACUGGGACUGAGACACGGCCCAGACUCCUACGGGAGGCAGCAGUAGGGAAUCUUCCGCAAUGGACGAAAGUCUGACGGAGCAACGCCGCGUGAGUGAUGAAGGUUUUCGGAUCGUAAAACUCUGUUGUUAGGGAAGAACAAGUACCGUUCGAAUAGGGCGGYACCUUGACGGUACCUAACCAGAAAGCCACGGCUAACUACGUGCCAGCAGCCGCGGUAAUACGUAGGUGGCAAGCGUUGUCCGGAAUUAUUGGGCGUAAAGCGCGCGCAGGCGGUUUCUUAAGUCUGAUGUGAAAGCCCCCGGCUCAACCGGGGAGGGUCAUUGGAAACUGGGGAACUUGAGUGCAGAAGAGGAGAGUGGAAUUCCACGUGUAGCGGUGAAAUGCGUAGAGAUGUGGAGGAACACCAGUGGCGAAGGCGACUCUCUGGUCUGUAACUGACGCUGAGGCGCGAAAGCGUGGGGAGCGAACAGGAUUAGAUACCCUGGUAGUCC
rnacentral:rRNA from 1 species